UACGGAGGGUGCAAGCGUUAUCCGGAUUUACUGGGUUUAAAGGGUGCGUAGGCGGAUAAGUAAGUCCGUGGUGAAAUCCUGCAGCUUAACUGCAGAACUGCCGUUGAUACUAUUUGUCUUGAAUAUCGUGGAGGUUAGCGGAAUAUGUCAUGUAGCGGUGAAAUGCUUAGAUAUGACAUAGAACACCCAUUGCGAAGGCAGCUAACUACGCGAUUAUUGACGCUGAUGCACGAAAGCGUGGGGAUCAAACAGG
rnacentral:rRNA from 1 species